AAAUCGAUUGAUCUGUCAUUUAAACCUAUGUAAAAGGAUCGAUAAACAAGGUGUUCACAGCGAACACCUUAAUAAUCGAUUCUUUACCACGGAUUCAAAUGGGGAAAUAUCGAUAAUCGAUCAUUCACGCCACGCCACUGCACUGGUAUAAAAACCUCUUACUUAAUAAGUACAUUGAGGAUUUAGAUGAAUUAUACGCUCCCAAGAAUAUAUAAAGUAGUUACAUUCCUUAGUAGUUUCCAACAACAACAACAACAGCAAAAGGUUCCGCUGUUGAGGUUAUGUACUUUUUCAAACAAAACUUCUUGGAGAUGCCAUGGCAUGAAAAAUGAUCAAAACGAUUGUCGUGUCACUAUGGAAAUUUCGGAAACUCUACUAAAAUGAAAACCCAGGUAGCGUGAUGUUAAUAGUUUUACCCAUGAUUUUUAAUAGUUUUACCCGUGAAUAUAGUCUUUCGAAUACUAUGAGUAUGUUCUUGCUGGUGUGCUACCUACGCUAAAUCUAACCUAAAAUGAGAAGAAUCUUCAUCAUGAGUAAGGUGACGUAAUACGGCGUUCAAUGCAAACUGGCAUGUGCAGCGAUGCCUCGAUUUAGUAUUAAAUGGAAGCGUCAAAAAUCUUCAACGUUUUUAUGAUACUUCUCGCAGCAAACGUGAAAUUUCCUAAGACCGCCGGGCAGAAUUUGCAGAUCUCCCAAGCAGAGCGCGCGGAGCGAAAAUUUCGAGUGAAGCGCCAGGUCCCAAACCAGUACAAUUUCAACAGCAACUUGACGCAAAACCAACUACCAAAUCUAAACAGGGUGUAUUUCAGCAACAUUCCGAUAGAGAGCGCUGUCGCGCAAAUGAAACAACGAAUUCCAAGCCGUUACUUCGCCCACACUAAUUCUUCCCGAAACCAGCCACUAGACCGGUUCACGGUCAACUUACCGAUGGAUAGGAUUGUCGCAGAGAUGAAACAACAAUCCCCAAACCAGUUCCAGUUACCGGACCCGGUUUCCAGGGAUUCACCGAUAGAUAGCGCUGUCGCACAGAUGAACGAACAGAUCGCGAACCCAUACAUCUUGUACCCUAACGCAACUUUUAGCCAGUUUCCAGAUUUGGGCGGCGAGUAUUUUACAAAUUCCCCGAUGGAUGGCGCGGUUUCACAGGAUUUCCCGAUAUUCCAACCGGGAAAACCGGGUGCUGGCAACGUCAAGGACACGGUCACUGAUAACAGGAGCACGAUUUUCAACGUCCUCAUCUUGAGCAACUACCUGAGCUUAUCACCAUUCAGGGACGACCUCGGGGAUUCUGGGCUCGACGGGCGCGCGGUGUCCAAAUUCAAUUUUUCAGGGAAUGUCAAGGACUCGGCGGGACCCCGACUGGUCCCCAGGGUCAAAAACUCGACGAUAGUUUUCUUGGACGACGCCCGGCUCCCGAGCUACACGGGGAACGUGACGGACAGGAAUCGAGAGGAGAGCCGAAAAAAGUUCAGCUUCGAAGAUGUGAAUCUUGACAUGCGGAACCUGAAAGACCUGGUCAAUUUCAGGAGGAAACCGGUCCCUUUGGAGAUCUGUAGGGGUGGAGGUCUGCCGCGAGAUGUGGAAGACGCAUCGCAAUCGAAAGCGACGAUGGAUUUACCUGCAGGUUCUCAAGACGGACCAGCGUUGGACCCGGGGCGAUACCUGAGAUCACGCAGUUCCACGGCGACAACUCGUCUCUUAUCAUGAUCCGGCUCGACAAGGACAAACGGCAAAGGUUCGGCGGGGGCCUCGAUCAGCCGGGGAUGAGGGGUCGCGGGACAGUCCCUCCGAGGAAAUUCCGCAAAGAGAAGGGAUACUCCCUUCCGGGAAGGAGGGAGUCCGACGAGGAGCGGAACAUCACGGAGGACUUCCGGGAGAUGGAGAUGCACCUCGCGCAGAUCUCGAAACUCAUGGCGCGGAUAGAGAAGAAGAAGAAGCAAGCGGUCAGUAAUCGGUCGAUCCCACCGUGGGUGAAGAGCAGAAGGUGAAAUGGAGAUGUUGGAUGUGUGAGGAAUUUGCGAUUUGACUGUUGAUUCUUAUGUAAAAGUUCGCGAGAAACAAAAUGGUGCCACUGGUUUUCUCUGAAAUCAACUCCCAAGCUCAAAAAAAGUUCUCAAAGUGAGGCCAAAAUGGAGGGGAUAUAGUCCACCUCUACAUCAAGACAAACUCUCCCUGCAAAGAUAGGGAGCAAAUACAUUGACAGGGCUGCCACUUUAUUUGGGGACUCCAAAACUGAAAACACGGCAACCCUGCUAAUGUAUUUGCUCCCUAUCUUUGCAUGGAGAGUUUGCAUAGAAUAAUGAUGCUUCGCAAUGCGAUUGCGAAGCAUCAUUAUUCUCUGGAGUUUGUUUUGAUGUAGAGGUGGAUUCGCAAGGUAGGGUGGGAUAUCCCCUCCAUUUUGGCCUCAACUUGAGAGCUUUUUUGAGCUUGGGAGUUGAUUUGAGAGAAAACCAAUGGCACCAUCGUUGGUGCCACUGCCAUCGUUUCUCGCGAACUUUUACACAAGAAUCAACAGUCAAAUCGCAAAUUCCUCACACAUGCAACAUCUCCAUUCUGCGAAGUGGCUCAUUGGCGGAUUCAGCAAAUUGGCAACACUGUUUACACCAUUUAAACCUAUGGAAAUGUAUCGAUUUUUGGAGGGGUCAGGUGCUCCAACAAGAAUCGAUAAUUUAACAUAGGUUUAAAGGAGGGAAUCCGGUGUUGCCAAAUCGCUGGAUCCGCCUCUGGUGGUGCUCUGUGUGCAGCAAUGUAGUUUUAGAUGAAACAGCGAGGAGAAAAAACUUCGGUUGCGCGGACCUUUCGGUUCAUGAGGAACACCGAUGUUUUCAGUCCGGACAACCAAAGUUCCCAGUCAUGGAAACUGAAUUUCUGUUCACACGACCGGAUGAGUCUUCGGUAAAAAUUACGAGUCUUGGUAUGGCUUGUGUCCACGCCAAAUGAGGGGCUUGGAGGACAAGGCGCAUAAAAGCAGUUUUUGAAAAAAAUAUGGAUAUGAAUGAUUUCAAAUAAAUCUAGUUUUAAUGCAUAUUCUGUGAAAAAUUUGCUCCCGAAUUCCAAUUUUUAAGUAUCAAAAAGUCAGUUUGAACUAUCUUUCUAUCAUAAGGAUCCGUGUAAUUUCGAAACUUCAAACACGUAUUUCUCGAAAUGGCAGAAACUGCACUCAUGCGCCCUGUCCUCAAAACCCCUUAAAUAAGUUUACGCACAUUUAGACUGCGACAGAGGAUCGUCUAACGUCACUUUCGCAUGUAAAUUAAAUGGAAGAAUCAAGAUGGCGGAUCAUCUGUCGCAGUUAAAAGAGCGUUCAAAACUAAUUUGGCGUGGACUCGAGCAAAAACUUUGGUCACCAGCGGGCCGAUUAUGAAACUGAUCGACAAAGCUGUAGACAAAGACGACAAAAGGGAUUUGGAGGGAUCCUAUUGGUGGAAGCAGGUGGUGGCGAUGGACAUAGGAGGUAGGUAAUGGACUAACUAACGGCAACCCACUUAAGACCCGACAGUUAGUCCAUCACUUUCUUCCUUAGUCUAAACCAACCAUGUCAACCCAUAAGAUCGCUUCGUACUCCCUAUGUCUUCUUUGUCUAUCGCUUUGUCCAUCAGUUUCAAUAAUCGCCCCGCUGGACCGAUGGCUUCGAUGUUUCAUAAGAAGAGAAGUUAUUGUUCUUCGUGCAUGUAAACUUACAAUCGUCAUCGUACCAUUUUAUUUUUUUGCUUUAUAUCUACUCGCAAUAUCCUCUCCCGUAGGUGCGAAAUAAAAUCAGUGCGGUGCGCUUUUCCGCUUGUUUAACUGUAAAACUACGACGAUUAAGAAAUUGAAAAGCUUGAAGUCGGUUUUGGUAUUUUUCUUCAGUGAAAAUGUUCUACUAAGAACCUUCUAAACCUCAUUUGUAGAUUAUAAAUAGUUAAAAUUACGUUGUUCCACCAUUAUGAGAACAACAAUUAUUGUUAACAUUGAAGAUACAGUAAUACAGAUAUUUUAAUUUUUAAACAACGAAAUUCCACUUAUACUCUUCAAUUAAUAAUUUUAUACGACAGGGUGUACAGGAUGUCUACUAAAAUUUUAUUUUGGAUUAUCCUGAUGUUUGAUCUGAAAUUCCCUGACUUUUUGCGUGAACACAAUCGAUACGCAUAUGAUUUAAGAAAUAAAAAUAUUCGAUGGAUGACUAAAAUGUUUGAAAAAUGCUUGAAGCACUCAGAACAUCUGGAUCCAUGACCGAUUUUCCUAAUAUGUUCGUGAUCUUUCGUAAUGAAAUAAAAUUUCCUAA
rnacentral:lncRNA from 1 species